UGAGUAACCUGCCCUUCAUUCUGGGAUAACUCCGGGAAACCGGGGCUAAUACUGGAUAUGACACCUCCUGGCAUCGGGUGGGUGUGGAAAGUUUUUCGGUUGGGGAUGGACUCGCGGCCUAUCAGCUUGUUGGUGGGGUAAUGGCUCACCAAGGCGACGACGGGUAGCCGGCCUGAGAGGGCGAUCGGCCACACUGGGACUGAGACACGGCCCAGACUCCUACGGGAGGCAG
rnacentral:rRNA from 1 species